AGGAAUGACUCUCUCUCUCUCUCUCUCUCUCUUAAAAAAAAAGAAAAAAAAGGAAAAAGAAACUGUAACUCCAGCAUUCCAACCGUUAGCUUCAGCAAACCCUAAACCUUUGACCUCUUUGAUGGCCGAAUCGUCCACUCAAUCAAAUUCAAAACGCCAGACACUCUCUCCCGGAAAAGAUGCAGUGGUCGACAGGAUCAGUAGUCUACCGGAAUCUCUUCUCUGCCACAUUCUCUCCUUCCUUCCAACCAAAGAGUUAAUCGCCACAAGCAUUUUGUCAACCAGGUGGAAGCUCCUUUGGACUCUCGUCCCAAAGCUAGACCUCGACAGUGACAAGAUCAACACUUUGGAGCUUUCGCUUCAUGAUGAUGAUGUUGAAGAUGCACGUGAGAUCAUGUUUGCACAUGUUGUGUCAAGUGUUUUGGCUCAACAAGAAUGUGGAGAGCUCCAAACUUUUCGCCUCAGAUGGGAAAUUUGGUCGGACGGUUCCCAUCUCGACGCAUGGCUUGGCACUGCUGCUGCUCGUAAAGUCAAAGAACUUGAUCUCGAAAUUUUAAUGUACGACAGUGAUGUGGGAAAUCUGAAAUUGCCUCCAAGCUUUUUCUCUUGUAGGACAUUAGUGGUUCUGAAAUUAAGCGGUGAUAUUGAUAUUGAUAUUGAUAUUGACACUCCUUCAUUAUCCUUUAAUUUCCCGAGCCUAAAGAUACUGCAUCUAGUAGAAAUUUCAUUGCCAAUGCCGAGUAUCAUGUAUUCACAGGAACACUCUUUCUUGAGGCUCCUUUCUGGCUGCCCUGUCCUCGAAGAUUUGUCAUUUACAACAACUGACUUUUCCGAGGGUGAGUAUAAAUUAUGUGUACCCACGCUGAAACGCUUAAGUUUCGGAGAAACUGAUUUUAAUUACUCUGAUUAUGAACUCGAAAUAAACGCCCCAGCUCUCGAGUACUUUGAAUUCUAUGGUGAUCUACGCGCCAUCAAAUUCUAUGAAAAACUAGACAACGUAGUUCAGUCGGAUGUCUAUAUUUCUAGGUAUGUACCUGAAGGAUUCCGUAGGAAAUGGGUGUUCAAUCUUUUUGCUGCACUGAAUAACGUCAAAUUCCUCUCAUUUUCUCCAAGGGGCACAGAGUGGCACAACUUGGGAAAUAUUUAUCCUUCCUCAUUCCAGAAUUUGGUCGAACUAAAAUUUAAAGUGAAUGGUUGUAGCUGGAAUGUGCUACAAGACUUGCUCCAAAAAGCUCCUAAUCUAGAAACUCUUGUUAUUACUAACGGUUAUGAUUCCGUUGAAAGCAACUUAUAUUGGAAGGAGCCACAAUAUGAUCCUGCUAAUCUGUCAUCACUCACAAGUUUUUAUUACAGAGGAUUUAAAGGUUUGAAGGAUGAAGUGGAACUUGUGAAAUAUGUUCUAAAGGAGGCAAGAGUUUUGAAGACAGCAACAUUUCAAGUUUCUAGUGGAGAGUCGAAGGAAAGUGUUCUUGAGAAACUAUCAAUGUUCCCAAGGUGCUCAACAACAUGUCUACUUAGAGUUGAAUGAGCUGCUCUACUCAUCUGCAUUGGUGCUUCUUGUUAAGCCCUUCUCCAUCUUAACUUUUUACUCAUGAGGUUUCAACAUUGGACUGGCGUAGCAUGGGCAACUUACAAUUAACUUGUCUGAGGUACAGUUUCAUUGCAAUAUUAUGACCAGAUGGCAUGUGAAAAAACUAUUCAUCUAAUCUGCUCUUAAGAUGGUUUCUGAGAUGGAUACCUUUUGACUUUAGCUUUUCCAAUCCUUUCCUUUUGCAUUUUCUUCCUCAUCUGUAUAGCUUUGGCUUCUUCUACCACCUUCUUUUCGUCAAGUCUUACCUUAUUUUUACUCUGCAUGACAUUGUUCACCUACUUUUUAUAGUUUUUAGUCUUGUUAAGCUGAUGGUGGCAUUAGUUGUGAGGAAGGAAAAGAAGAAAAAAGGUGGUUUUCUGAAGGUUUUGCUUAUGCUUCAGUUGACAUACUGAAUAGAGAGAACAAAAUAUCUUGUAAUGUCCCACCCCUAUUCUGCACUUGAGUUAAUUUAGGAUUUUUAAUGUUAAAUUUCUAGUUAUUUUCUAAACUGAUAGUUCUGGAAGAAGAACUAUAAUGCUAAUGGCUUCCUGCUGCCACACAAUUUACAUAAAGUUGCACUGGCCUUGAUGUGGUCUGGAAUUGCACCUUUAAGGUAAUGUAAUAGCUAGAUUUGGAAAGUUAGAAAAAGAAAUGCUGAGAUAGAUUUUGUUUUGUGAUGAUGGGUGUGACCUUUAUAAAAGCCUAAGUCAGAGUUUUGCU